rnacentral:lncRNA from 1 species
AAAUUCAGUAAACAAGAAGCUGUUAAGCCGGAAGAUAGGAGAAUUACCAUCCACUUGAAGUCGCAAGGGAAAGAUUUGUCGAAGCUCAUAAUCUUACCUGCUUCCAUGGAAGAUCUUAUGAGACUUGCAGGUAAGAAAUUCAACUCUUAAUGUUCUAAUAAACAAGUGAGCGUGUGAAGAACAAAAGAAUACUUCUCCAUAAAAAAAAAAAGCUCCUCAAAUUAAUUAAACAAAACCACAAUAUUAUGUAGGUGAAAAAUUUGGAGAUAGAAGCUUUACAAUGGUCACCAGUGCUGAAAACGCAGAGAUUGAUGAUGUAAAUGUCAUUAGAGAUGGUGAUCAUCUGUAUUUUUACAUCAGUGAGCUUGAAAGCAUAGACUCUUGACGUGACUUGUAUUAUGAAUGUUAAUUACCCUUCCAUAAAG